CCUCCUUUAUAGCAUCUAUCCAUAAAUCGAAUUAGAGAUAGCUCACAACAUCAUGAUAUGUUACUAGAUCAAUCACAUGCCCAAUGUUAUAGUCACUUUCCCCAAGAUAGACAAAGCAAUCAUUAGGAAUGGCAGGCCUUCUCUGUUUGGUAGAUCUCCUUAAUGGCACCUUCUCAAUAGGCUGAUUGGUUGAAGAUUCUCAAUAGGG
rnacentral:lncRNA from 1 species